GGAAGAGGCAUUUGGUACAAGGCAUGGAGAGCUCUUGUUGUCUCCUCCUCACUAAUGUCACAAUGGUUCAUUCCAGGCCUACAGAAAUUAAUUUUGAUUUUGUUAUCACCAAAAUAUAGCACUGCAGAAACCAUCUGCAGAGAUGGAUAACCAGGAAGAGUAUCGAAGCAUGUGUAAACCGAUAAAAGAGAGCUAAGAUUUUGUAUAAGUUUAUCACCAAAAUAUAGCACUGCAGAAACUAUCUACAGAGAUGGAUAACCAGGCAGAGUAUUGGAGCAUGUGUAAACCGAUAAAAGAGAGCUAAGAUUUUGUAUACGUCACAAAAAGAGAGGUAAGAUUUAAAAACUGCAGAA
rnacentral:lncRNA from 1 species